rnacentral:rRNA from 1 species
UUCUCCUACGGGACGCAGCAGUGGGGAAUAUUGGGCAAUGGGCGAAAGCCUGACCCAGCAACGCCGCGUGAAGGAAGAAGGCUUUCGGGUUGUAAACUUCUUUUGACAGGGAGGAGCAGAAGACGGUACCUGUCGAAUAAGCCACGGCUAACUACGUGCCAGCAGCCGCGGUAAUACGUAGGUGGCAAGCGUUGUCCGGAUUUACUGGGUGUAAAGGGCGUGUAUCCGGGCUGACAAGUCAGAUGUGAAAUCCGGGGGCUCAACCCCCGAACUGCAUUUGAAACUGUUGGUCUUGCGUAUCGGAG